rnacentral:rRNA from 1 species
UGAACGCUAGCUACAGGCUUAACACAUGCAAGUCGAGGGGCAUCAGGAAGAAAGCUUGCUUUCUUUGCUGGCGACCGGCGCACGGGUGAGUAACACGUAUCCAACCUGCCCUUUACUCGGGGAUAGCCUUUCGAAAGAAAGAUUAAUACCCGAUAGCAUAAUGAUUCCGCAUGGUUUCAUUAUUAAAGGAUUCCGGUAAAGGAUGGGGAUGCGUUCCAUUAGGUUGUUGGUGAGGUAACGGCCCACCAAGCCUUCGAUGGAUAGGGGUUCUGAGAGGAAGGUCCCCCACAUUGGAACUGAGACACGGUCCAAACUCCUACGGGAGGCAGCAGUGAGGAAUAUUGGUCAAUGGGCGCUAGCCUGAACCAGCCAAGUAGCGUGAAGGAUGAAGGCUCUAUGGGUCGUAAACUUCUUUUAUAUAAGAAUAAAGUGCAGUAUGUAUACUGUUUUGUAUGUAUUAUAUGAAUAAGGAUCGGCUAACUCCGUGCCAGCAGCCGCGGUAAUACGGAGGAUCCGAGCGUUAUCCGGAUUUAUUGGGUUUAAAGGGAGCGUAGGUGGACUGGUAAGUCAGUUGUGAAAGUUUGCGGCUCAACCGUAAAAUUGCAGUUGAUACUGUCAGUCUUGAGUACAGUAGAGGUGGGCGGAAUUCGUGGUGUAGCGGUGAAAUGCUUAGAUAUCACGAAGAACUCCGAUUGCGAAGGCAGCUCACUGGACUGCAACUGACACUGAUGCUCGAAAGUGUGGGUAUCAAACAGGAUUAGAUACCCUGGUAGUCCACACAGUAAACGAUGAAUACUCGCUGUUUGCGAUAUACAGUAAGCGGCCAAGCGAAAGCAUUAAGUAUUCCACCUGGGGAGUACGCCGGCAACGGUGAAACUCAAAGGAAUUGACGGGGGCCCGCACAAGCGGAGGAACAUGUGGUUUAAUUCGAUGAUACGCGAGGAACCUUACCCGGGCUUAAAUUGCAGUGGAAUGAUGUGGAAACAUGUCAGUGAGCAAUCACCGCUGUGAAGGUGCUGCAUGGUUGUCGUCAGCUCGUGCCGUGAGGUGUCGGCUUAAGUGCCAUAACGAGCGCAACCCUUAUCUUUAGUUACUAACAGGUUAUACUGAGGACUCUAGAGAGACUGCCGUCGUAAGAUGUGAGGAAGGUGGGGAUGACGUCAAAUCAGCACGGCCCUUACGUCCGGGGCUACACACGUGUUACAAUGGGGGGUACAGAAGGCAGCUAGCGGGUGACCGUAUGCUAAUCCCAAAAUCCUCUCUCAGUUCGGAUCGAAGUCUGCAACCCGACUUCGUGAAGCUGGAUUCGCUAGUAAUCGCGCAUCAGCCACGGCGCGGUGAAUACGUUCCCGGGCCUUGUACACACCGCCCGUCAAGCCAUGGGAGCCGGGGGUACCUGAAGUACGUAACCGCAAGGAUCGUCCUAGGGUAAAACUGGUA